AGGAGUUCGAGAUGUAACCGCCAUUGGGGUAGGAAGCCUGGAACCUCUCCGGAUCCUGAGAGCUCAAGAUAUUUGAAGACUGAGAAGAAUGAGAUAAUGGAAUAAUGGAUAAGAAAAAUGGAAGUCCUUUCAAAAGUACAAAGUGCUGUACAAUGUAAGGUCACAGCAAGUCAGCUUUUUAUCACAGAUGCUGAGAAGUCAAAAAGUCGCUGACAUCUACAGGGCCUUGUUUUGCAGCUCAGACUGAUCUUGAACUUGGGGUGAUCCACAUGGCUUACUACCCAAAGAGCCGAGAUUACAAGCAUGAAGCAUUCUGGCUGCCUGCUGCUCCUGGAGAGAGUAGUAAUUGCUUAAGAAGCUCUUAAAUGUACAGUUUGAAAUAUUAAGCAGACACUUAAGAAGCUCUAACUCUGAACUAAUUAAAGUCUUUCCCAUAAAUUAGACUUCAUCUAAAUGCCUUUCUUUCCUGUUGGUGUGAGACCAAAAGUAAAGCAGGACAUCUUAAUGUCA